CAACGUUUCAGUCCUCCUCAAGGACUUCCAUUAUGAUCCUGAUGAAAGUCCUUGAGGAGGACUGAAACGUC
rnacentral:miRNA from 1 species